CUACGGGGCGCUCCAGUGAGGAAUAUUGGACAAUGGUCGAAAGACUGAUCCAGCCAUGCCGCGUGCAGGAUGACUGCCCUAUGGGUUGUAGACUGCUUUUAUACGGGAAGAAAAACACCUACGUGUAGGUGACUGACGGUACCGUAAGAAUGAGGACCGGCUAACUCCGUGCCAGCAGCCGCGGUAAUACGGAGGGUCCAAGCGUUAUCCGGAAUCAUUGGGUUUAAAGGGUCCGUAGGCGGGCUAUUAAGUCAGAGGUGAAAGUUUGCAGCUCAACUGUAAAAUUGCCUCUGAUACUGAUAGUCUUGAAUUGUAGUGAAGUGGUUAGAAUAUGUGGUGUAGCGGUGAAAUGCAUAGAUAUCACAUAGAAUACCGAUUGCGAAGGCAGAUCACUAACUAUAUAUUGACGCUGAGGGACGAAAGCGUGGGGAGCGAACGGGAUUAGAUACCCGGGUAGUC
rnacentral:rRNA from 1 species